rnacentral:lncRNA from 1 species
CCGGCCUUCGCGAGCUUCCUUCUGGAUUCCAGCGCGAAGCCGCCGCGGAAACUCCCCGGGCGGGCAUCGGAGCUCUGGGGCGGGGCGGCCGGGCUCAGAGGGCGGGCGGGAGCAGGCGGGCGGCGAGGGCGGGCAGCAGCAGCGGGAGCAGGGGCGCCCCGGGCGCCGGGGCCGCUGGGGACGAACGCGGCGGGUCAGGCCCCGAAGCCCGGGCCGCGGUGGCCGCCUCAGGCGCCCGCUCUGGGGUGGGGGUGGGGGCAUCUUUCGGGACCGAACUCGCCGCAGCCUCCCUCUUUGUGCUCCUUUCCCCUGCUGCCCUUCCAGAUGCGCUCUUUCCAGAAAGGCAGCACACGCAUGUCUCUGCCGUGGCCCCAGAUCCUCCCCGCGCCGCCGUUUUGAGCGUUCACACUCAUUACCCAGAUAUCUCCCCACAAACCUAAACAAUUUCGAGAGGGACUUGUGUUCUGCAACCAGUCACAGAAUAUCAGGUGAGCUGGGCGUGUCUUCACUGACCCACCCGCCCAGGGAUGCUGCACUCCUCUCCACCCUGCUCAGAAUCACUAGAAUGACCGUUCUGUGGCUACAGCCCUAAAAGAGCUACUAAAAAGACCAGAAGUAGUAUGAGAACUUAUGAAUACGAAUAUAAAUAAAGGACAUCUGGAGAA